UCCCUUUUGAUGGGAUACCUGCCGAAGGCGAGCUAAUGUCCCAUGUGGUAAUGAAGCGUAAGCUUCAUUAUUAAAGCUGCAAAGCGCUCCAAGAGGGGCUUGCGUCUGAUUAGCUAGUUGGUAGGGUAACGGCCUACCAAGGCGAUGAUCAGUAGCUGGUCUGAGAGGAUGGUCAGCCAGAUGGGGACUGAGACACGGCCCCAACUCCUACGGGAGGCAGCAGCAAGGAAUUUUGGGCAAUGGACGAAAGUCUGACCCAGCGACACCGCGUGAGGGAAUAAGGCCUUCGGGUUGUAAACCUCUUUUCUUGGGGAAGAAUCUCGACGGUACCCAAGGAAUAAGCCUCGGCCAACUACGUGCCAGCAGCCGCGGUAAUACGUAGGAGGCGAACGUUAUUCGGAUUUACUGGGCGUAAAGGGAGCGUAGGCGGUUCCUUAAGUCGGAUGUGAAAUCUUCUGACUCAAUCGGAAGGCGCCAUUUGAUACUGAGGGACUUGAGAGCAGCAGAGGGAAAUGGAAUCUCCAGUGUAGCGGUGAAAUGCGUAGAUAUUGGAGAGAACACCAGUGGCAAAGGCGGUUUCCCAGGCUGCUUCUGACGCUGAGGCUCGAAAGCGUGGGGAGCGAAGCGGAUUAGAUACCCGCGUAGUCCACGCCCUAAACGGUGGACACUAGAUAUGGGAGGUAUCGACCCUUUCUGUGUCGAAGCUAACGCUUUAAGUGUCCCGCCUGGGGAGUACGGCCGCAAGGCUGAAACUCAAAGGAAUUGGCGGGGGAGCAC
rnacentral:rRNA from 1 species